CACUGGCCUCCAGCCUUCUGCGGGUUCUGGAGAAAGAGCAAGAAGAGCCAAGGGCAGAGCUUAGUUCUUUCCUCCUGAGCCUGUAGCUGUUCCGGGCCAGGGUCAGCUGCUCCAGCCCAGAUCGGCUUCCCAGGUCCCCGGAACCGAACACAAGGAUCUUCCAUCCAAGUCCAGCUGCCCUGGUUACCCCGCUACGGUCCUGUUCUUAGUCGUGGCUUGUCUGCCACUGUCACUGAACUCGGGUUCCCAGAAGACAGGAAUGGGGUCUUGUUCAUCUCUCCAUCUCCAGCACUCAGCAAGGUGCCUGCCAUAUAGACUGUGCUGGGUAAAUACAUCAGAAUGAACAAACUACUUUCCAAUGGACACUAUUUACACCAAAGAGACCUGUAAUUUCUUGUCUAUUGUAUAAGCAUGCCUUCAGAUGUAAUAACUUUGAAAGGGCAUAAAAUAUACAUUAAAUAAUUUGAAGUAUGCUAUUGAAA